UAGACAAUUUCGGAUCGGACUUUAAACAUUAAGCAAUUGUCGGAUUAUAAAUGUCCAAUCCGAUCCGAUGCACACCUCUAAUAUAUACCUUACCAUGCAUGGCAUCACUUUAGCAGAUACUGUACAUAUCAACUUGCGGUUAAUUAAGAGCUCGACAACUGGACUCUGUAGUGUAGCUCUAGCCUGCGUAGCAGGCGUUUAGCUGACGUGCGGGAACUGCAGACUCGUCCUCAGUCGCUUUAAGAGCGGGCGCGCGGCCAGAAGUGGGCGCGUAGAGGCUCACGGGAAGGGCGAAAGAAGAAAAUUUAGCGACUGGCGCCAGAUUGGGCUAUUCCAUUUAAUAUCCAUACACCCCCUGUCGAAAAUACAUGUUUUUCAUGGUUAUACCCCUGAAGAAUUCCAAGCUCAAAACCUUUUACCCCUGAAGAAUUCCAAAAUUCCAAGCUCAAAAUCCUUUACCCCUGAAGAAUUCCAAGCUCAAAACCUUUUACCCCUGAAGAAUUCCAAAAUUCCAAGCUCAAAACCCUUUACCCCUAAAGAAUU